CUCUCCUCCCGGGUCUGCGCGGACGCGGCCUCCUUACCUCAUUUGUCCUCGCCCCUCCCCGUCCCUCUACGCGUUUUGGUCCCUGUUUGGUGCUUUCUGUUUGCAGCUACGGCAGUGAAUCUGGGCAUAGGAACCAAUCAGAAACAAUCGCUUCAGCAAUCAAGACCAUUGUUCAUCAUGGAGGAACCCAUGGAUACCUCUGAGCCUCUAUCUGCAUUACCAUUCACUGGGCAGCAGUCUUUUGAGCCAAGUGGCAAAUUUGGACAGUAUCCAUCGAUGCAGAUGAACCACAUCCAGGCACUGGGGAAGUGGAGGACAUAGAACAGCUCAAUCAGUGUUUGAUCCAACACUUCCAUCUCAUUAAGACAAGUUUGAUUUUUCUUUGCUUUUUAUUUCAUGGAAUACAUGAGAAUCUCUUAACUGUUGGAGUUUCCAAGGAGGCAUACCUCAUGACUUCAGUUAAUGGAAAGAACAAAACUAAAAUGCUGUAUGGCCAAAGCCACAAAGGGAAGGAUCCACAAUUUACAUUCUUGGAGCUAUCAUCUGUACUGUACUGUUGUGAUCUACUGAUUGGCAUUGGCAUAGUAGUAGGGGUCAAGUGACAGAAUCCGUGCCAGCAGUCUCCAGGUUCAGAAGCAAUUCAAGACCCUGAUGAUAGCUCUCCAGCAACCAACACAUGGUGAUUGUGCCAACUUGUUGCUCAGUUAUAAUGCAGGGCCAGUGAUUGGUUUAAGUGAAGACCAUGGUUGAGAUCAUUUGUCUUUGGUCUAAUAGAAUUUGAGUCUAGUAGAAUUUGAGUCUCCAGGGAAAGAGCUACUUGACCAAAUUAAACUAGUAGCAGGUAGAGCAUGAAUGACAGCAUAUUAUACCAUCAAGAUGUUCUUAGAGCAGUGUAUGGAUGGAUCGAUUGUACUGCCAUCAGUUGUGACUGACGUUGUAUUCAAGGAGAAAGAGAAACUUGUUUAGAAAGCACUUUGAAAGUUUUUUGAGUACGGGGGUGCCCUGUAUCACCCCGUUAUGGUUGAACUUUCUCCUUCAAAAUUACCAGACUUGGCAGCAGUGGCAAAUUAUUGGGCUAAAAGACUUAAUCAGACAUAUUCUGGGUUCAAGGCUCCUAAUAUAAUACCUGGUGCAAACAUUAUACUUCCACUCAUUCAGAUGGUUGCAUCCUGCCAGGCAUCCAGUGGGACUGGGAAUAUGGACACUUGAACAUUAAACAUCCUGAAGAAUUUUGGAAUGACAGGUUACAAGUGAACAUAAUCAGUUCUCUAUAUUAAAAAAAAAAAAAGAUUUGGGCAUAGAUUGGGCUCACAUAAUCUUUAGAGAGAUUUUUUCAUUUUUGUGAAAGUACAGAAAUUCUUAACUGCUUAUGAAAUGCUGAUUGUUAAACAGCAUCCACAGCUAUUUUGUGUUGUUUCCCUGACCCCACCCUGAAGAAAAGAAAAAUUAUGGCAUAUUGAAAACAGCAGUAUGAUGUAAGAGAAAAGAUCACAAAUUCCUUGAGGGUGGGUCUUUUCCAUACUCAUAAGCCUAUUUAUAAUAUUCAGAGUAAUUUAUUGACACAUAUUAAUAUUCCCUCCUAUCCCAUUAAUUGCCAAAUCAUCAAACAUUUAUUGAGCACCUACUCUGUGUAGGGUGUAAGCAGUACUGGGGACUUACAGUGAUAAAAGACAUAGUUUUAGCCUUAAGUGAUGUACUGUUUCACUGAAGAGAUGGAAUAUAAGAAGCCAAGUAAUUUAUGGAAUUCUCUUCUUUGUUUUUCUUUUUUUUUUUUGCAGUGGGGUCUUACCCUAUAAAUAGAGCAAGGCUAGUUUGGAACUCCUGGGCUUGUGUGGUCCUCCCGCCUUAGCCUUCAGAGUAGCUGGGAGUGCAGGUGUGAACACAGCUUUGAAAUCUCAAUUUUUUUUUUUUUUUUUUGA
rnacentral:lncRNA from 1 species